AUAGAGAAUGGGUAUCAGUUGGACAGACUUGUGUGUUUUCACAUCAUUUAUGAGACCAUUUCAUGGGAUUGAGAUGAUAGAAUCAGGGUUCCCUUCCACCAUCAAUAAAGAUUUGAAACAGAGUUUAUCCUAAAAGCAAGGAAGGAAGAAAACGUAGGUCAAUAGAUAGCCUUUUCCUUUCUCAGUGCGAAAAUUGCCUAGCACACUAUGAGCAUUGCUGAGACACCUUCAAUAGACAGACUGUGCACAAACUGAACGAAAACAUACGAUAAAUUGAGGAAUAUUUUCAUUUUUAAUUUAAAGUAUACAUGACAAUUAUAACUUAAAAAGUAGAAUGCCUUUUCUACAAAAUUUAGUGAAGAACUUUUUGUAUUACAUCAUUUUAUAAAAAGGCAUUCUAAAAAGUUCCUCAUUAUUUAUUAUGAGUCUUAAUAUCAAGAGCAGUCUCAUUUUUAAGAUACUUUUUCUAUGCUUUAUAUGGUGAGAAUGGUUGUGUUAUCUAAGAAUUUUUCCUAAAUUGUGUUUUGCAUGAACUGGCAACAAAUGAUGCAAGCAGUUUCAACAACAGCGUGACAGAGAAGCACGUUUGUGAAGAUGCCCCUUUUUGACUUUUACAUCGCCGUUUCUUCGCUUUAUUUCUGUAAUACUAUUUUUUAGUCUUUAUAGUAAGUUUUCGAAUUGGUGGCAUUUACCAAUACCUGAAUCAUUGCCAAUAUUCAAUUCCAUUAGCAAGGGUGCUGGAACUCUGAAAAUGAAAGUAAAUAAGCUGCUUCUAUCUAUUGAAAUCCUGUUAGGAAUGUGGUGAUUUAUGAAGAAUAUGUACGACCUGUACAUAUUGUGUAAUGGCCACAGUAAGGUAUUUGUAUUAAAGGAUUUAUACCAAAAUAUUUCAAAAUAGUAAUGGGGAUAAGUUUGGACAUUAGCUUGGUCUAUGGCACAUGUGAUUGAGACUAUACGGGCAUAGUUUGGGAAUUUCAACUCCAUAUUUGAUUUAUCACAAUUACUUUUAUAAAAGAAGAAUACAUAGGAUACAACAUAUUUAU
rnacentral:lncRNA from 1 species